GUAAGGAAUAUUGGUCAAUGGGCGAGAGCCUGAACCAGCCAUGCCGCGUGCAGGAAGACAGCCCUCUGGGUCGUAAACUGCUUUUAUUCGGGAAUAAACCUGCUUACGUGUAAGUAGCUGAAUGUACCGAAGGAAUAAGGAUCGGCUAACUCCGUGCCAGCAGCCGCGGUAAUACGGAGGAUCCAAGCGUUAUCCGGAUUUAUUGGGUUUAAAGGGUGCGUAGGCGGCCUGUUAAGUCAGGGGUGAAAGACGGUAGCUCAACUAUCGCAGUGCCCUUGAUACUGAUGGGCUUGAAUGGACUAGAGGUAGGCGGAAUGUGACAAGUAGCGGUGAAAUGCAUAGAUAUGUCACAGAACACCGAUUGCGAAGGCAGCUUACUAUGGUCCUAUUGACGCUGAGGCACGAAAGCGUGGGGAUCAAACAGGAUUAGAAACCCUGGUAGUCC
rnacentral:rRNA from 1 species